rnacentral:misc_RNA from 1 species
UAGUGCUAACGAUAUACGUGAAAGAAAUCAAGAAAUGAAGGUCGAUCAUCGUGCAGGAACUUCUCCAUUCACUUAACAAACUUAAUGUUUGAUAAAUAGUGGGAAUGAACGAUAGUUGAUCGCCCAAUAAUAGCUGAAAGGUUUAUCGUAGAACUAGGAUGGAGGAAAUUGGAAAAGAGAACCAAACAAAUGGAAGACGUUUCUCUGGCGGUUCUACAAACAGUGAUAGUGUUCCAGACAACCACGACUGUGAUUAUGAACCUGCUUUAGAGUUUGAUGAUACUGAAUUAGUGCAGGCAGCAAACUCAGAGACAGAAAUGGACAAGCAAGCAGAAUCAAAUACUGAUGAUGAUUAUCAGUACCUUGAAUCACCUUUAUCUGAUGGACUUAUGGACGAAAACUUUGAAGAAGCUUUAGCUAAUAGAGGAAUAGAUGACGAUGAUGAUAUGAAUGAUUUUUCAGAUAUUGCCAAAUAUGGUAUUGUAGAAGUUGCUGGUGAUGACUCCUAUGGAAGGAAGGUGAUAGUCAUUUCAGCAUGUAAGCUGCCUUCAAACAAAGAACUUAAUCAUGCCAAGUUUCUCAGGUACCUUAUGUAUACAUUGGACCAAUUUGUAGAAAGUGACUAUACAUUAGUAUAUUUCCACUAUGGUCUCAACAGUAGGAACAAGCCAUCUCUUAGCUGGUUAUGGGCUGCUUAUAAAGCAUUUGACAGAAAAUAUAAAAAGAAUCUUAAAACCUUGUAUCUAGUCCACCCUACCAAUUUCAUUAGAUUUGUAUGGCAGAUUUUCCGACCUGCUAUCAGUGUGAAGUUUGGAAAAAAAGUCAUGUAUGUCAAUUACCUUCAUGAACUGAAGAAGCAUCUUCAUUUUGAGCAACUAGCCAUUCCAAAAGCUGUCUUAGAUUAUGACAAUCAACUUAAAGCAGUUAAUAAGGGAACAUCAACCUGGUUUCCAAAUUCACCUAGCAGUAGCAGUUUACAUCUUCCAGGGCCUGUGUAUGAUACACAACAGUUUCGGGUUCCACUGUCUUUCAUCAAAGAACACAACAGUGGUGACCCCAUACCCCGAGUUGUGAAAGAGUGUAUUGCUUACCUUGACAGUGAUACAGCACUUGAAACCGAGGGAAUUUUCAGGAGAUCAGCUAAUACCCAGAUUCUUAAGACAGUACAGAGUUUGUUUGAUGAAGGUAAGCCAGUGAAUUUUGAAGAACAUGGUGAUAUUCAUGUUGCUGCUGUAAUGAUUAAGUCCUUCUUGAGAGAACUACCAGAACCACUUUUAACUUUUGACUUGUAUGAUGACAUAUUAAGCUUUCAAGUAAUAUUUCUCUCUGCAAACAGAACUGGAGCAGACUGAGAAACUCCCUGUUGCCAAGUCUUUGAUACUGCAAAGGUUACCAGAAGAUAACUAUCAGCUUCUCAAAUAUGUUGUUGAAUUUCUUGUCAAGGUGAUUGAUUGCAGUGACUUGAAUAAAAUGACUGCCUCCAACCUAGCAAUUGUAUUUGGUCCGAAUUUAGUGUGGUCACAGAGCUGCCAAGCCUCUCUUUCGUCCAUUACUCACAUCAACCACUUCACAGAGU